GAUGAACGCUGGCGGCGUGCCUAAUACAUGCAAGUCGAGCGAACGGACGAGAAGCUUGCUUGUCUGAUGUUAGCGGCGGACGGGUGAGUAACACGUGGAUACCCUACCUAUAAGACUGGGAUAACUUCGGGACACCGGCGCUAAUACCGGAUAAUAUUUUGAACCGCAUGGUGCAAGAGUGAAAGACGGUCUUGCUGUCACUUAUAGAUGGAUCCGCGCUGCAUUAGCUAGGUGGUCAGGUAACGGGUUACCAAGGCAACGAUGCAUAGCCGACCUGAGAGGGUGAUCGGCCACACUGGAGCUGGGACGCGGUCCAUACGCCUACGGGACGCAGCAGUAUGGUAUGGUCCGCAAUGGUCGAAAGUCUUACGGAGCAAGGCCGCGUGUGUGAUGAAGGUCUUCGGAUCGUAAAACUCUGUUACUAGGGAAGAACAUAUGUGGAAGGAACUGUGGACAUCGUGACGGUACCUAAACAGAAAGCCCCGGCUAACUACGUG
rnacentral:rRNA from 1 species